GACCACGGUACGCUGUGACCGAUUUAAACGCGCUUCUUUUAAUCCCAUUACACUGAAUCAAAUGUAAGUGUGAAUAGCUCGCUUUAGGUCUGAGAACGGACAUAUGCAAAGUCAGCGGAAUCGACAAUAACAUUGUUACAACACUGCUAAUAUCUUCAGGAAUUAAUAUUUUGAGUGGGAGACUGUCCCACUCAGCAGAGAAUUCUUAGCUCCUAAGGAGAUAUUUAUAUUUAUUGUGUUUCCUGUAUUUUUUUUAAAGGUUCUUCACUCCAAUGCACGUAUGCAUUCAGGCCAGCGGAUACUUUCUCAUUUUGAUUUCAACACCAGGGCACACGGGCUUUUACAGAAGAAUGCUGAAGAGGAAAGAGGGUGACCUGGAAGGAUAUUGGGCGAGCAGGAGAGAGACAAAAUAAGACUUAUCAGCAGGAAGACGAUUAAGGAAAGACAGUGGUGUCUUUUCCUGGGCAGCACCACUGUUAUUCACCACAACAUUUGUAGAAUAGCACAGAGGUCAUAAAAAGUAACCUUGCUAAAGUGAAAGUGGAAGCCACCCGAACAGCGUCGCGGUGCAUCGGGAACCUACCACCUCAUGAUGCACCUUUGCUGCCUGGGACUUUCUCAGCGCUCUCUCAGAAAUGGAAACACCUCCAAAAAAGAACAAAAAAACAACUAGAUGUAAAAAAAAACAACAACAAAAAAAAAACAGGUAAAGUAAAGCUCAAAAACAAAGAGAGAUUUAAGGAUCAAAAGAGAGUGAGUUGGCACAUGAUUACAGGAAUAACAAAACAAAAAAACAAACAAACUUGCGUUGUUCUUCUCCCUAAGGAGCUUUCCACUGAGUCAGAGACUCUCACAGUUAUCUAGAACAUUCCUCAGACCAAAAACAAUACACACACACACACACACACACACACACACACACGUACACACAGCUCCAGGAGGAGUCGUGAGAGAGAGCUUCACGAGGGCCAAGGUGCUCCGGCGUGUCCAGGUGCUCAAGUUUCACUGCGCCGGCUAAAGCUGGCCAUUGCACUGAUCCCAGAUCAGUUGUGCUGAUUUGGCUGUUGAGUUCCAAGCCGGAGCUUUGAGCAGGGCCGGCUGCUCCAGGAUCAGGCUGGCAGGAUGAAGGGCAGGCCUGUGGAGAGCCCCUCCCGCUGUUGUGACAUAUGGACAGUGCGGUAAAUCUGAUUAAUUCAGGAGGACCAGGACAGGCUGCAGCGGGAAUCCCCGGCCGCUUCCGGCCGCUGCGUUGCCAAACCUCCCUCCCGCCACACCUAAAAACAGACAAACACACGUCACAUGCUCAGAUGGUCCCACCGUGCAGGCCACUGGGUCAGCACCGGGACCCGGAGAGGCACAGGGCGCGAGGACCACGCCUGGGAUCCAACCUAGUGCGCAGAGCAGGAGCUAUGGGCAGUUAGUGUCACAGGCCAUGAGAAAAAGAAACAAAUUUGCUUUUACUGCAAAAAUAUUUUGCCAUGAAAGUAACGACAGAGAUUAGUUACAGCAUAUGCAGGUAUAUAUGGCUAUAUACCGUAUAUAAAAUUCUACCAGAGCCCUGGGAGUUUGAGGGUGCAGUGCAGUAUUUUUGCUCUUCCCAGGAUUGUGCUGUACUGGACUACACUGUGGUGGUCAUUCCUCGGAUCUGUUGCAGCCUCUGCUCCAACUUAGGGUCACCACCCCAAACACCUUCUGUCACCACUGUUAACCUUCCACGUUCUCCCUGUUUCUUCAUUACGUCCCUGGCAUUUGUGCAUCUUCUCAUAUUCCUCCUUUGAAUGUAUCCAUCACUUGGGCUGCUGUUGUCUGCCUCUUGUCCACUGUCCCAAUGUCUGGUUGGUUCACAACUAUUGUUUAUCUGUCUGGACCUGGAGGACCCACGGGAUCUUAGACUUGGGGGUUUCCCACUCACAGGCCUUUUGUAUAUGAGCUCUGUAACUUGGUUGUGUCUCUUUGUUUUCCUUGCCAGAAUCUUUCAUCCUGCUAGUAGGUGCUGGAUUGUCUCAGAGGCUCCUUUACACAGUCUGCAUUCUGGGUCUUGUCUGGUGUUAUACAUCCCUGCUUCCGUUGAUCUGGUGCUGCCAUGAUUAGUGCCUCGGUGCUGUCCUUCAGUCCCGCCUUUUCCGCUCCCUCAUCAGCUCAUCCUUGAACAUCUUUUUUUUUUUAAACAUAAAAUACUGUGGAGAUGCAUCAUAGAUGAUACCCUUUAAUACUCUAGCUGGCCAUUUGUAGUAAUUUCUGUACAACACAUUUAGAGAAAGUUCAGGAGUUUAUGGAUGCCACUUUGUGAACAUGAUGUGUGCCUCUUUUAUGUACACUGGAGUCUGGACACCAGCAGGAUCUGCUGGGAAAAAGAAAGACAGAGAGAGAGAGAGAGAAAAACUGUUUUGUUCAGCUUAUAAAUAUUAAUAAGUGAGAGAAAAACCCUCCAAGGCUACAGCGACAAUGUGAACAGGGACAUGAAAUCCAGGUCUUUACAGCUCUACAUUUAAACCAAAACCAGGUCUUUACAGCUCUACAUUUAAACCAAAACCAGGUCUUUACAGCUCUACAUUUAAACCAAAACCAGGUCUUUACAGCUCUACAUUUAAACCAAAACUAGGUCCUUACAGCUUCACAUUUAAACCAAAAUCAGGUCUUUACAGCUCUACAUUUAAACCAAAACCAGGUCCUUACUGCCCUACAUUUAAACCAAAAAGCAAAUCCUUGCAAGUUUGUCAUUUUCACUAGUCCUUUUUAGCUUGGUCUUAGAAGAUAAUUUAUUUCAGAGUCAAUAAAGUCUGUGUGUGAUGCUUUGGACAUGUUGUGUCAAUUUAAUUUAUAUGAACAAUCAUAGAUUCUUUUAGAAAUCACCACUGAGAUAUUUAGCAAACAAUUUAGAAUGUAAACAAUUACACAAGCAAAUAAAUGAGUGGAUUGUGUCUAUAUUA